rnacentral:rRNA from 1 species
AUGAAGUUUAAUUCCACAAAAGAGGCUUGGAACUUUUGGACAUGUUAUGGAGGUCAUACUGGUUUUGAUGUAAGGGUAAAUUAUGAAAACAAGAGCAAACUUGACGGAGUAAUCACUUCUGCAAGAUAUGUUUGUUCUAAUGAAGGCUACAGAAGAAAGGACAAAAGGGAUAAUAAUACAAAGCGUCCUCGUGCAGAAACAAGGACCGGCUGCAAUGUUCGAAUGGGAAUCACUAUAGUCCGAGAAGCAGAAAAUUAUGAGGUGCACGAGUUAGUUGUUGAACACAACCAUGUCUUGCAAUUACCUGGGACAAGCCACUUGAUGCCGUCACAACGGAAGAUUUCGGCAUUGCAAGCAUUUGAAAUUGAAACAGCAGAUGAUUCAGGAAUUGUACCUAAAAGAGCCCAUGAGUUAGCAAGUCGACAAGUUGGUGGUCCACUGAACCUUGGCUACACAUGUCGUGAUCGCAAGAACCACUUGCGAACCAGGCGUCAAAGGGACUUGAUGUAUGGUGAAGCUGGAAGUAUGCUUAAGUACUUCAGAGAUAAAAAGAAUGAGAAUCUUGCAUUUGAAUAUGAUAUGCAACUAGAUUGCGAUGAACAAAUAGCGAAUAUCUUUUGGGCUGAUGCAAAGAUGAUCAUUGACUAUGCUCAUUUCGGUGAUGUUGUUACUUUCGAUACAACAUUUGGGACAAACAAAGAGUACAGACCCUUCGGUGUGUUUGUUGGAUUCAACCAUUUUAGAGAAAUGGUCAUUUUUGGUGCUGCACUUUUAUAUGAUGAGACAUUUGAGUCAUUCAAAUGGUUCUUCAACACGUUCCUAUCAUUGCAUAACAAGAAGCAACCUAGAACAAUCUUUACUGAUCAAGAUGUAGCAAUGGGUAAUGCAGUUCAGGCGGUAUUUACUGAAGCAUGGCAUGGAUUAUGCACUUUUCACAUAAUGCAAAAUGUCAUCAGGCACUUACCUCAUAAGAAAAAAGACGAGGAGGGACCAAAUGUACUUGCUGAUUUCAGUGCUUGCAUGUACAAGUAUGAGGAAGAGGAAGCCUUUGUAGAAGCUUUCAAUGCCAUCAGAAGCAAUGUGGAUACACAAACUUGGACUGUGCAAGAGAAAAGAGAUAACGAGGUAAAUGAGGAAUAUGAGUCUAGGAAAAAAUUACCUAGAGUCAGAAUGAGGACUCCUAUGGUAAUACAAGCGAGCAAGGUUUACACACCACGCAUAUUUGAAGAUUUUCAGAAUGAAUAUGAAAGAUCCAUCUCAGCAUACAUCAAGCCAUCGAUGGAACACAAUGCAUAUAUUGUUGCAAUUGCAAGUCUUGACCCAGAAUUCACAUAUGAAGAAGAGUGCAAAGUUGUAGUUGAUUAUGAAGAGCAAAAAGUUUUCUGCGAUUGUGGGCAAUUUGAAAGAGUUGGUAUAUUGUGUAGUCAUGCUUUGAAAGCACUUGAUGUCAUGAAUAUUAAGUACCUUCCAGGACACUAUAUUUUGAAGCGAUGGACUCGAGAAGCGCGAAGCGGCACUAUACAAAACAGCCAUGGAAACAUUGUUUUGGAAGAUCCUAGAUCAGAAGAUAGACAACAGUUGAAGUUUUUCAUGCACGAGUUCCUUGGCAUAGCUUCACAGGCAGUUACAUCAGAAGAGUGUAUCAAACUAGUAGAUGAUGCUUUGAAGAAUCUUAGGAAGCAAGUUGAAGAGAAAGCUCGUACUACUACGUGCAGAACUGAAGAUAUAUCUAAAGAACCAGACGAUUGUUUAAAGGAUGCUUGCCUAAAGAAAAAGGAAAUUCCAAAGAAAAAUUCAAGAAGAAAGAAAUCAUGGCUUGAC